UAAAUGAAUGAAUUUUUAAAAAUAAAUAUUGACUAAAUACAACUCGAAAGACUUCAAUCUGAAGGCAGCCACAAGUUCAAGCUCAUUAACAAGCUCUUGGUCUUUAGCUGGACUACGAUACAAGCCGUACAAAUGUUGUUCGAGUAACAAAAAGCAACGAGAGAAGCGGCCAGCAAAGCCGCUGAUAAGGCAAAAACAAGGGAAAAAGCCAAAUGUAAAAAACAGCUGAAGAAAAACGUGCUGCUAAAGACAAGAAAGAGUGUAAAGGAAAACCGAGCGAAGCGUUUUGAGUUAAAUGCAAAAUGACAGGGCCUGUCACUACAACAACAACAACAACAACAACAACAAUAAUAACGACAACAACAAAAGCAAAUUGUCAAAGGUGCCGCAUCUGUUGGCCAUUUGGCAGUUAGGCAAAUGAGUUAACUCGAGUUGAAUUUUAGCUGAGUUUGCGUGCCGCGCUGUGGCACGUUCGUUUAUUGAAGCCAGCGACUCCUCUUGAAUUUUCCCAAUCGUCGCCCGAGGGCAGCAUGAGCUGGGCUUCUAAUUAGCCAACUCAAAUUGGCCGCCGGUUAAAUAUGCAUUAAUUAAGUGCUAAACGCAUCGAAGCGAGCGGCGAAAGUUUGCACAGUUGGCCAGUGUUGGCCAGGGUGGUGGUUGGUGGCUUGGGGCCAGUGCUGUUAAACGUAAUAAAUAAAUAAGCUAA